UACGUAGGGUGCAAGCGUUAAUCGGAAUUACUGGGCGUAAAGCGUGCGCAGGCGGUUAUAUAAGACAGUUGUGAAAUCCCCCGGGCUCAACCUGGGAACUGCAUCUGUGACUGUAUAGCUAGAGUACGGUAGAGGGGGGAUGGAAUUCCGCGUGUAGCAGUGAAAUGCGUAGAUAUGCGGAGGAACACCGAUGGCGAAGGCAAUCCCCCUGGACCUGUACUGACGCUCAUGCACGAAAAGGCGUGGGGAGCAAACAGG
rnacentral:rRNA from 1 species